rnacentral:rRNA from 1 species
AGCGAACGCUGGCGGCAGGCCUAACACAUGCAAGUCGAACGAACCUUUCGGGGUUAGUGGCGGACGGGUGAGUAACACGUGGGAACGUUCCUUUAGGUUCGGAAUAACUCAGGGAAACUUGUGCUAAUACCGAAUGUUCCCUUCGGGGGCAAGAUUUAUCGCCUUUAGAGCGGCCCGCGUCUGAUUAGCUAGUUGGUUGAGGUAAUGUCUCACCAAGGCGACGAUCAGUAGCUGGUCUGAGAGGAUGAUCAGCCACAUUGGGACUGAGACACGGCCCAAACUCCUACGGGAGGCAGCAGUGGGGAAUGUUGAGCAAUGGGCGAAAGCCGGACGCAGCCAUGCCGCGUGAAUGAUGAAGGUGUUAGGAUUGGAAAAGUCUUUGGACGGGGACGAUAAUGACGGUACCCGGAGAAGAAGCGCCGGCUAACUUCGUG